UGAGGAAUAUUGGUCAAUGGGCGAGAGCCUGAACCAGCCAAGUAGCGUGUAGGAUGACGGCCCUAUGGGUUGUAAACUGCUUUUAUGUGGGGAUAAAGUGCGUGACGUGUCAUGCAUUGCAGGUACCACAUGAAUAAGGACCGGCUAAUUCCGUGCCAGCAGCCGCGGUAAUACGGAAGGUCCGGGCGUUAUCCGGAUUUAUUGGGUUUAAAGGGAGCGUAGGCUGUCUAUUAAGCGUGUUGUGAAAUAUACCGGCUCAACCGGUGGCUUGCAGCGCGAACUGGUCGACUUGAGUAUGUAGGAAGUAGGCGGAAUUCAUGGUGUAGCGGUGAAAUGCUUAGAUAUCAUGACGAACUCCGAUUGCGCAGGCAGCUUACUGUAGCAUAACUGACGCGGAUGCUCGAAAGUGCGGGUAUCAAACAGG
rnacentral:rRNA from 1 species